UAAUAUCUAUUCCCACCAAGAACACGUCCACGCAACAAAUCUAUUUAUUUACACAGUUGUAUUCACAUCUCUUCUCGAAGCAUGAUCUCAUCAUGUGGUAUCAUGAAACGCCUGAGAUCUCCUUGGUGCCAUCACUUUGCAAACCAUAGACUGUGCUCUUCCAUCAUGAGGUAAUUUACUUAAUGAUUUGUGAAAAUAAAUAGAACAAUCCAACUCUAACUGGAAAUAAGAUUUCUGGAAGCCUAACGCUGUGUGGUAGAGUAUUUACUUCAGUAAAAGAAAUGUGGGUUCAUUGACUUUACCUUAUAACUUUAAGUGGGUUGGUUUUGAAUUUAUAACUUUAGUUUUAUUUAAGUGGGUUGUUGAAUUUAAGUGGGUUGUUGAAUUUAUAGCUUGUAUUUAGAUGAUGGUCUUACUAUCAUUCACGCAUCAUGUCGAUCUUCUCCAGACAAAAGAUGAAUGCGUGUCAACCAUCAUGUUAAAAUUUAAUCUAAAUACGUAAACCAUGUCUGCUUCAGCUAAAGAAAUUGAUUAAUUUUAAACGUGCAUUUUAUGGGAUUCUCAAUUUUUAUUAAAAUCAACUAAAAAUAUAAUUUUUAUCUAAAUCAAAUAGAGGCU
rnacentral:lncRNA from 1 species